GACGGAGGAUGCAAGUGUUAUCCGGAAUCACUGGGCGUAAAGCGUCUGUAGGUGGUCAAAUAAGUCAACUGUUAAAUCUUGAGGCUCAACCUCAAAAUCGCAGUCGAAACUAUUAGACUAGAGUAUAGUAGGGGUAAAGGGAAUUUCCAGUGGAGCGGUGAAAUGCGUAGAGAUUGGAAAGAACACCGAUGGCGAAGGCACUUUACUGGGCUAUGACUAACACUCAGAGACGAAAGCUAGGGUAGCAAAUGGG
rnacentral:rRNA from 1 species